AUUGAACGCUGGCGGCAGGCCUAACACAUGCAAGUCGAACGGUAACAGGAAGCAGCUUGCUGCUUUGCUGACGAGUGGCGGACGGGUGAGUAAUGUCUGGGAAACUGCCCGAUGGAGGGGGAUAACUACUGGAAACGGUAGCUAAUACCGCAUAACGUCGCAAGACCAAAGAGGGGGACCUUAGGGCCUCUUGCCAUCGGAUGUGCCCAGAUGGGAUUAGCUAGUAGGUGGGGUAACGGCUCACCUAGGCGACGAUCCCUAGCUGGUCUGAGAGGAUGACCAGCCACACUGGAACUGAGACACGGUCCAGACUCCUACGGGAGGCAGCAGUGGGGAAUAUUGCACAAUGGGCGCAAGCCUGAUGCAGCCAUGCCGCGUGUAUGAAGAAGGCCUUCGGGUUGUAAAGUACUUUCAGCGGGGAGGAAGGGAGUAAAGUUAAUACCUUUGCUCAUUGACGUUACCCGCAGAAGAAGCACCGGCUAGCUCCGUG
rnacentral:rRNA from 1 species